AGUGAACGCUGGCGGUAGGCCUAACACAUGCAAGUCGAACGGCAGCACAGUAAGAGCUUGCUCUUACGGGUGGCGAGUGGCGGACGGGUGAGGAAUACAUCGGAAUCUACUUUUUCGUGGGGGAUAACGUAGGGAAACUUACGCUAAUACCGCAUACGACCUACGGGUGAAAGCAGGGGAUAUUCGGACCUUGCGCGAUUGAAUGAGCCGAUGUCGGAUUAGCUAGUUGGCGGGGUAAAGGCACACCAAGGCGACGAUCCGUAGCUGGUCUGAGAGGAUGAUCAGCCACACUGGAACUGAGACACGGUCCAGACUCCUACGGGAGGCAGCAGUGGGGAAUAUUGCACAAUGGGCGCAAGCCUGAUCCAGCCAUACCGCGUGAGUGAAGAAGGCCUUCGGGUUGUAAAGCCCUGUUGUUGGGAAAGAACAUCAGCAUGUUAAUACCCCGCUGUUCUGACGGUACCCAAAGAAUAAGCACCGGCUAACUUCGUG
rnacentral:rRNA from 1 species